ensembl:lncRNA
GUCCACCUCCACUACAAUCUGUUGGCUGAGGUCAGGCUGACGAAGAAUGGGGGCAGUGGCAAAGCGGUCCUUUAGACGAGAGAAGGCUUCUUGGGCUGACUGGUCCCACUGAAAGGGAACCUUGGGAGAGGUCAUCCUGGUGAGAGGCAGAGCAAUUUUACUAAAGUCUCAUAAACCGGCGGUAAAAAUUAGCAAACCCCAAAAAGUGCUGGAGCUGUCAGCGAUUCGGGGGCACUGGCAACUCGAGCACCACUUGUACUUUAGCUGGGUCCGGUUUCAGAUCACCCUUCUCAAUAAUGUAUCCCAGAAAAGCCACCGAAUCCAUGUGAAAGUUACAUUUCUCUCCCUUUACAAAAAGCCUGUUUUCCAAUAGAUGCUGGAGUAUUUGCCGGACGUGGAUUUCAUGCUCAGCAAGAGUCUUUGAGAAUAUGAAGAUGUUGUCCAAAUACACAAACGUCCAGCGGCUAAUAAAAUCCCGAGGAACAUUAGUGGAGACACUAAAGCCCUGCAACAGACUAGUGACCUCUACAGGGUGUACGCCACCAUAUGACUUUAAACCAGAGCCAGACGUCGUCUACUCUUCACUGAAGUAGCCCACCAGUCCAACCACUGACAUCCAGCUGCUGGUCUCUAACUGGUCCGCCCCAGCACCUCAGACCAGAGGACAUCCACAUGUUACAGAUUUUUUUUCUUUUUUUACCUCUUUUUUAUCACUGAAUUAGAUUCGUAAUUCACAAAAUGCAUUGUUUUUAAAUUUAUAUUAAAUCCCUAUACACACCUAUCUAAUGAAAUCUUCCUGUAGUUUUGUGUCCUAAGUAAAAUUACUGUAUUUUUUUUUUUUUUGAAUGCUGAUCUUAUUCCACAAACAGUUUAGUUUCCCUGUGAGAUUUAUAAACAUUAGCCUCAUCUGUUUUCCUUGUGUGGCUCUGGGUUGGUUGUGGCUAACCGAUGCGCACAUUUUUUUCACUGAUGAAAACAAAGAAUAAAGACUAAACCACAACCUCAGCCUAAAAAAAGCCAGAGCAUCAAUCAGUGUCUUUAAACCUUCAUUGCAGGAAGUUUGUGUUUGAGACUGAAGAGUUUAAGC